rnacentral:rRNA from 1 species
UACGGAGGGUGCGAGCGUUGUCCGGAAUCACUGGGCGUAAAGGGCGCGUAGGUGGCGCGGGAAGUCAACGGUGAAAGUUCGGGGCUCAACCCUGAAUCGGCCGUCGAUACUCCCGGGCUCGAGCACUGUAGAGGCAGAUGGAAUUCCGGGUGUAGCGGUGGAAUGCGUAGAUAUCGGGAGGAACACCAGUGGCGAAGGCGAUCACCUGGGGUUGUUCUGACGCUGAGGAGCGAAAGCUAGGGGAGCAAACGGG